UACGAAGGGGGCUAGCGUUGCUCGGAAUUACUGGGCGUAAAGCGCACGUAGGCGGUCUUUUAAGUCGGGGGUGAAAUCCUGGAGCUCAACUCCAGAACUGCCUUCGAUACUGGAAGACUUGAGUCCGGGAGAGGUGAGUGGAACUGCGAGUGUAGAGGUGAAAUUCGUAGAUAUUCGCAAGAACACCAGUGGCGAAGGCGGCUCACUGGCCCGGUACUGACGCUGAGGUGCGAAAGCGUGGGGAG
rnacentral:rRNA from 1 species